AGGAUUAACGCUGGCGGCGUGCAUGAGACAUGCAAGUCGAGCGGACACUCAGGGCUUGCCUUGAGUGUUAGUGGCGGACGGCUGAGUAACGCGUAGGUGACCUGCCCCGAAGUGGGGAAUAACUGCCCGAAAGGGUGGCUAAUACCGCAUGUGGUGAUGCGUUCAUUCGCAUCAGUAAAGCCGCAAGGCGCUUCGGGAGGGGCCUGCGUCCGAUUAGCUCGUUGGUGAGGUAACGGCUCACCAAGGCGACGAUCGGUAGGUGGUCUGAGAGGACGAUCACCCAGACUGGGACUGAGACACGGCCCAGACUCCUACGGGAGGCAGCAGUCGGGAAUUUUUGCGCAAUGGGCGAAAGCCUGACGCAGCAACGCCGCGUGAGGGAUGACGGCCUUCGGGUUGUAACCUCUUUUGUCAGGGAAGAUAAUGACGGUACCUGGCGAAUAAGCCACGGCUAACUACGUGCCAGCAGCCGC
rnacentral:rRNA from 1 species